rnacentral:rRNA from 1 species
CAAUAGCGUAUAUUAAAGUUGUUGCAGUUAAAAAGCUCGUAGUUGGAUUUCUGGUGGGAGCGAUCGGUCUGGCGCUUAGCGCGAGUACUUGCAUCGUCUCCGGCCAUCCUUGGGGAGAGUCUGUCUGGCAUUAGGUUGUCGGGCAGAGGAUCCUCAUCGUUUACUGUGAAAAAAUUAGAGUGUUCAAAGCAGGCUUAUGCCGUUGAAUAUAUUAGCAUGGAAUAAUAAGAUAGGACUUUGGUACUAUUUUGUUGGUUUGCGCACCAAAGUAAUGAUUAAUAGGGACGGUUGGGGGUAUUCGUAUUCCGUUGUCAGAGGUGAAAUUCUUGGAUUUACGGAAGACGAACUACUGCGAAAGCAUUUACCAAGGAUGUUUUCAUUAA